rnacentral:rRNA from 1 species
UACGUAGGGUGCAAGCGUUGUCCGGAAUUAUUGGGCGUAAAGAGCUCGUAGGCGGUCUGUCGCGUCGGCUGUGAAAACUCGGGGCUCAACUCCGAGCUUGCAGUCGAUACGGGCAGGCUAGAGUUCGGGAGAGGAGAGUGGAAUUCCCAGUGUAGAGGUGAAAUUCGUAGAUAUUGGGAAGAACACCGGUGGCGAAGGCGGCUCUCUGGACCGAUACUGACGCUGAGGCGCGAAAGCGUGGGGAGCAAACAGG